UCUCAUUGAAUUAAAAAAUUUCAGUCAUGUCAAUCAAAGCAAUAAAUACAUUCACAUAUAGCUCCAUUUUAAAUAUUAAGCCAUGAAUUUUCUUUCCCUCUUUGUACAGAGUCCAUCAAUCCACAACAUGUCUCAAAACACCAUAUUUUGUGCAAAAAUAAUACCCAUUGUUGAUACCAACAAUAAUUUCAUGGCGAAAAAUAUUGCCAAUUAAUACCCAGAAAAAUUAGUCAAAUAUUUGAUGUAUUCCUUAACGAACAUCAAAAACAUAAUAAACUACUUGUUUAUUGUCUUCUUGCAACCCUUAAUCACCACUUCCUUGCAACAUUCAAUAAUUGCUUUUUGGUUCUCCACUCCCGCAAACUACACAUCAGGUUAUGUGAAUAUAAAUUAGAGAUGACAUUCAAUUAAAAAAAAUGCACUGCAAUGAUAAAAUGACAUUACUUGUUUAGAUGUAGCAGAUGAUGACUCAUUUGGAUUCAAGUUAUACACCCUCGUUGGUGGGUGGCAGUGGUGGCUCAUUUGGA
rnacentral:lncRNA from 1 species